UACGAGGGGGGCGAGCGUUGUUCGGAAUUACUGGGCGUAAAGCGCACGUAGGCGGCUCUUUAAGUCGGAGGUGAAAUCCUGGAGCUCAACUCCAGAACUGCCUUCGAUACUGAAGAGCUCGAGUCCGGGAGAGGUGAGUGGAACUGCGAGUGUAGAGGUGAAAUUCGUAGAUAUUCGCAAGAACACCAGUGGCGAAGGCGGCUCACUGGCCCGGUACUGACGCUGAGGUGCGAAAGCGUGGGGAUCAAACAGG
rnacentral:rRNA from 1 species